UACGGAGGGUGCGAGCGUUGUCCGGAAUCAUUGGGCGUAAAGGGCGCGUAGGUGGCCUGCUAAGCGUGCGGUGAAAGUCGGGGGCUCAACCCCCGAUCGGCCGUGCGAACUGGGAGGCUUGAGCACUGUAGAGGCAGGCGGAAUUCCGGGUGUAGCGGUGGAAUGCGCAGAUAUCAGGAGGAACACCAAUAGCGAAGGCAGCUCGCUGGGACGUUACUGACGCUGAGGCGCGAAAGCGUGGGGAGCGAACAGG
rnacentral:rRNA from 1 species